rnacentral:rRNA from 1 species
CCGCGCCACGAGUGGCAAUCAGCAUUAUUGGGCCUAAAGCGUCCGUAGCCGGUCUCAUAAAUUCUUUGUGAAAUCGUCAAGCUUAACUUGACGGCUUGCGAAGAACACUGUGAGACUAGAGACCAGGAGGGGUAGGAGGUACUCCUGGGGUAGAGGUGAAAUUCUGUAAUCCUGGGGGGACCACCAGUGGCGAAGGCGUCCAACCAGAACGGGUCUGACGGUGAGGGACGAAGCCCUGGGGCGCAAACCGGAUUAGAUACCCGAGUAGUCC